rnacentral:misc_RNA from 1 species
GGAAGGAUCAUUAACACAAAUUUAUGUUCCAAUAACACUCACAACGUAAAAGUUGUCUAUUUGCAUGUUAGUAGAGUUCGCUCUAUUAACAUGUCAUCUCAUUUUAUAUGGACCUUUUUGUUUCUUUCAACAUGAAACCUAAAACCAUAUAUUAUAACUAAGAAAAUUUUCAACGAUGGAUAUCUUGGUUCCCAUAACGAUGAAGAGCGCAGCAAAGUGCGAUAAGCAAUGCGAAUUGCAGAAUUCCGCGAAUCAUCAGAUUCUUGAACGCAACUGGCGCUAGGGGGCUAUCCUCCUAGCAUGUCUGUUUCAGUGUCUGAAAACAUCACAUCUAACUUAAUGUGGUUGAUGAUCUAAUGUUUUAUAAAUAUUAGCUAAUCUUCCAUUAAAGAUGUAUGUGUGGGUCUUUGAACCCCUCAUUGAAUUGGUCAUCUAUUUAGAUGAUUUCAAUAGGGAUUGUCUCAAUUACCUAAAUACACAUAGAAACUUUUCAAACAUCAAACUCUGCAUCUGAAAUCAGGCAAGAACACCCGCUGAACUUAAGCAUAUUACUAAGCGGAGGAAAAGAAAUCAACGAAGAUUGCCUCAGUAGCGGCGAGUGAAGCGGCAAUAGCUCAAGUUUAGAAUCGGAAGCAGCCUCUGUUUCUGAAUUGUAAUCUAAAGUGAGUAACAAUAGGGGAUUUGGAAGCAUAAGUUCCUUGGAACAGGACAUCAUAGAGGGUGAAAAUCCCGUAUGUAGCUUCCAUUGAACCGAAUGUUAUUUAUCUAAGAGUCGGGUUGUUUGGGAUUGCAGCCCUAAAUGGGAGAUAAACUUCUUCUAAGGCUAAAUAUCUAUGGGAAACCGAUAGCGAACAAGUACUGUGAAGGAAAGGUGAAAAGAACUUUGAAAAGAGGGUUAAAAGACUUGAAAUCGUUGAGGAGGAAGCAGUACAAGUGGAUUUAUGUUAGCUAUGAAGCAACCUAUGUGAGGAACCAGCUCGUAGUAGUGAUGUACGUUAUUGGCUAGCUGCUACGAUGUAAUGGCACUCUAUGGGGAUUUCAUAGUUAAAGGUCAGGACCAGGUCUCAUUUAGCUGGAGUCAGUUGGGAGAAAGCCCUGCCUUCUGGUAGAAUCUCCCUUCAAAACAGUUAACUGGCCUGAGGAAAAAGGUCCUGACACAACGGCUUGUACUGACCCGUCUUGAAACACGGACCAAGGAGUCUAUCACAUAUGCGAGUUUGCGAGUGCAAAAACUCAUAGGCUUAAUGAAAGUAAGUAUAAGGUGCCAAGAGGUGAGGUACGCCGAUCCUCCGCAGCAUCGACCGACCAUGAUCUUUUGUGAAAGGUUCGAGUAAGAGCAUAUUUGGUAGGACCCGAAAGAUGGUGAACUAUGCUUGAGUAGGGUGAAGCCAGGGGAAACUCUGGUGGAGGCUCGUAGCGAUACUGACGUGCAAAUCGUUCGUCAAACUUGAGUAUAGGGGCGAAAGACUAAUCGAACCAUCUAGUAGCUGGUUCCCUC